GUGCUCACUUGGCAGCACAUGGACUAGGAUCGGAACGGCACAGAGAAGGUCAGCAUGGCCCUUGUGCCAGGAUGAUAUGCAAAUUCGUGAAGGUUCCAUAUUUAA